GUAAUACACAAUACUGUAAAUGCAUGAAAAUCAUUCGUCAAAUGAAGCAUUCCACAAGAUAACUUAUAAUAAAAGCAGUAAAACAAUUUGCUCAAAUUACCGAAACUAUGUUUGUCAAAGAGUAAAAGGAUGUUAAAAAAAAAGAGACGCACCGAUCUUCCUAUGUCCAAGCUGAGGGUGAAGCCGCUUCGUCCUGUCCCCAACUCCAGACGAACAAGGCGCCAAAUCCCGUCGAUCCCUACUGCUAAU